GACGCGGCGGCAGGCCUACACAUGCAGUCGAACGGUAGCACAGAGAGCUUGCUCUCGGGUGACGAGUGGCGGACGGGUGAGUAAUGUCUGGGAAACUGCCUGAUGGAGGGGGAUAACUACUGGAAACGGUAGCUAAUACCGCGUAACGUCGCAAGACCAAAGAGGGGGACCUUCAGGCCUCUUGCCAUCAGAUGUGCCCAGACGGGAUUAGCUAGUAGGUGGGGUAACGGCUCACCUAGGCGACGAUCCCUAGCUGGUCUGAGAGGAUGACCAGCCACACUGGAACUGAGACACGGUCCAGACUCCUACGGGAGGCAGCAGUGGGGAAUAUUGCACAAUGGGCGCAAGCCUGAUGCAGCCAUGCCGCGUGUAUGAAGAAGGCCUUCGGGUUGUAAAGUACUUUCAGCGGGGAGGAAGGUGUUGUGGUUAAUAACCACAGCAAUUGACGUUACCCGCAGAAGAAAGCACCGGCUAACUCCGUGCCAGCAGCCGCGGUAAUACGGAGGGUGCAAGC
rnacentral:rRNA from 1 species